ACGAUAAAAGAUGUGCUUGGAGAAUGUGUGAUAUGAUAGUAGUUCAAACUAGAAUGCGUUUCGUCCUAACGAACUGACGUAGUAAAAAGUAGUCCAAUUUGGCGGUAAAGACCGCCCAAUCAGGCGCCACCUGCACGUCCGCCAUGUUCUGACCUGAGCAGCUGAGCUAAUCACUGACCAACUGAGACCAACUGAAACGAAGCCGAUACGGAACGUAAACUGUGAUUCUGAAAAAAGUAUAAAGGCGACCAACGCAGGAACCCAGCACGAGAAAAGACGACAGAGGGGAAGAUUUUCAUCAGUAUUCGCGCCAACGGAAGAAAACCCUUACCCAAUGCUUUAUCUGGGUUAUGAGAAGCCACCUGAGAAGAAACGCAGAAGAGUCGUCAGGAUGAGUGUUGACGGUCAAGUCGCAUCAACAACAGACCAAGCUGUGAUGGUGUUCGAGCAGCCUCAAACCUUCAAGGAUGCCCAAACACAGUGGAUGGAUCCAGCUGAGGAGGACC